rnacentral:rRNA from 1 species
CCUACGGGGGGCAGCAGUCGAGAAUCAUUCACAAUGGGCGAAAGCCUGAUGGUGUGACGCCGCGUGGAGGAUGAAGGUCUUCGGAUUGUAAACUCCUGUCAAGUGAGAGUAAAGCCGGGCGUUAACUGCGAGCCGGUUUGAGAGUAUCACUAGAGGAAGAGACGGCUAACUCUGUGCCAGCAGCCGCGGUAAUACAGAGGUCUCAAGCGUUGUUCGGAAUCACUGGGCGUAAAGGGUGCGUAGGCUGCACGGUAAGUCAGAUGUGAAAGCCCGGAGCUCAACUUCGGAAUUGCAUCCGAUACUGCCGUGCUUGAGGACUGGAGAGGAGAUUGGAAUUCACAGUGGAGCAGUGAAAUGCGUAGAUAUUGUGAGGAACACUAGUGGCGAAGGCGAAUCUCUGGACAGUUCCUGACGCUGAGGCACGAAAGCCAGGGGAGCAAACGGGAUUAGAUACCCGUGUAGUC